rnacentral:rRNA from 1 species
UACGUAGGGUGCAAGCGUUAAUCGGAAUUACUGGGCGUAAAGCGUGCGCAGGCGGUUAUGCAAGACAGAGGUGAAAAUCCCCGGGCGUCAACCUGGGAACGUAGCCUUUCGUUGACUGCAUAGCUAGAGUACGGUAGAGGGGGAGUGAAUUCCGCGUGUAGCAGUGAAAUGCGUAGAUAUGCGGAGGAACACCGAUGGCGAAGGCAAUCCCCUCGGACUGUACUGACGCUCAUGCACGAAAGCGUGGGGAGCAAACAGGAUUAGAAACCC